rnacentral:rRNA from 1 species
UACGGGGGGGGCAAGCGUUGUUCGGAAUUACUGGGCGUAAAGGGCCAGUAGGCGGCCAACUAAGUCGGAUGUGAAAUCCCCAGGCUUAACCUGGGAACUGCAUCCGAUACUGGAUGGCUUGAGUAUGGGAGAGGGAUGCGGAAUUCCAGGUGGUAGCGGUGAAAUGCGCAGAUAUCAGGAGGAACACCGGUGGCGAAGGCGGGUCUCUGGGCCGAUACUGACGCUGGAGGUGCGAAAGCGUGGGGAGCAAACAGGAU